GAACAACCUGUCCCUACAUUCCGGAUAAUUGGGAGAAAUCCCUUGUAAUACGGGCGAGGAUCCAGAAGAGGCAUCUUUUUUGGAGGGAACACGCAAGUGGUGCGGGGAGGGGUUCGCGUCCUAUCAGGUAGUUGGUGAGGUAACGGCCCACCAAGCCUACGACGGGUAGCUGGUCUGAGAGGAUGGUCAGCCACAUUGGAACUGAGACACUGUCCAGACUCCUACGGGAGGCUGCAGUCGAGAAUCUUGCACAAUGCACGAAAGUGUGAUGCAGCGACGCCGCGUGGAGGAUGAAGGCCCUUGGGUUGUAAACUCCUUUUACUGGGGACGAAUCAAUGACGGUACCCAGUGAAUGAGCCACGGCUAACUACGUGCCAGCAGCCGCGGUAAUACGUAGGUGGCAAGCGUUGUCCGGAUUUACUGGGUGUAAAGGGUGCGCAGGCGGACCUUUAAGUAGAAAGUGAAAGGUUGGAGCUCAACUCCGACACUGCUUCCUAUACUGGGGGUCUUGAGUCUUGGAGGGGGAAGCGGAACGACACGU
rnacentral:rRNA from 1 species